rnacentral:rRNA from 1 species
GACGAACGCUGGCGGCGUGCUUAACACAUGCAAGUCGAACGGAAAGGCCCUGCUUUUGUGGGGUGCUCGAGUGGCGAACGGGUGAGUAACACGUGAGUAACCUGCCCUUGACUUUGGGAUAACUUCAGGAAACUGGGGCUAAUACCGGAUAGGAGCUCCUGCUGCAUGGUGGGGGUUGGAAAGUUUCGGCGGUUGGGGAUGGACUCGCGGCUUAUCAGCUUGUUGGUGGGGUAGUGGCUUACCAAGGCUUUGACGGGUAGCCGGCCUGAGAGGGUGACCGGCCACAUUGGGACUGAGAGACGGCCCAGGCUCCUACGGGAGGCAGCAGUGGGGAAUAUUGCACAAGGGGCGGAAGGCUGAUGCAGCAACGCCGCGUGCGGGAUGACGGCCUUCGGGUUGUAAACCGCUUUCGCCUGUGACGAAGCGUGAGUGACGGUAAUGGGUAAAGAAGCACCGGCUAACUACGUG